AAGCAAUUAAACUUUAGUGGCGAACGGGUGAGUAACGCGUAAGCAAUCUGCCCCUAAGACGAGGAUAACAGUUGGAAACGACUGCUAAGACUGGAUAGGAGACAAGAAGGCAUCUUCUUAUUUUUAAAAGACCUAGCAAUAGGUAUGCUUAGGGAGGAGCUUGCGUCACAUUAGUUAGUUGGUGGGGUAAAGGCCUACCAAGACUAUGAUGUGUAGCCGGGCUGAGAGGUUGAACGGCCACAUUGGGACUGAGACACGGCCCAAACUCCUACGGGAGGCAGCAGUAGGGAAUUUUCGGCAAUGGAGGAAACUCUGACCGAGCAACGCCGCGUGAACGAUGAAGUAUUUCGGUAUGUAAAGUUCUUUUAUUAGGGAAGAAUAAAUGAUGGAAAAAUCAUUCUGACUGUACCUAAUGAAUAAGCCCCGGCUAACUAUGUGCCAGCAGCCGCGGUAAUACAUAGGGGGCAAGCGUUAUCCGGAAUUAUUGGGCGUAAAGGGUGCGUAGGCGGUUAAAUAAGUUUAUGGUCUAAGUGCAAUGCUCAACAUUGUGAUGCUAUAAAAACUGUUUAGCUAGAGUAAGAUAGAGGCAAGUGGAAUUCCAUGUGUAGUGGUAAAAUGCGUAAAUAUAUGGAGGAACACCAGUAGCGAAGGCGGCUUGCUGGGUCUUUACUGACGCUGAGGCACGAAAGCGUGGGGAGCAAACAGGAUUAGAUACCCUGGUAGUCCACGCUGUAAACGAUGAGUACUAAACGUUGGGUAAAACCAGUGUUGAAGUUAACACAUUAAGUACUCCGCCUGAGUAGUACGUACGCAAGUAUGAAACUUAAAGGAAUUGACGGGACUCCGCACAAGCGGUGGAUCAUGUUGUUUAAUUCGAAGGUACCCGAAAAACCUCACCAGGUCUUGACAUGCUUCUGCAAAGUUGUAGAAAUACAGUGGAGGUUAUCAGUUGCACAGGUGGUGCAUGGUUGUCGUCAGCUCGUGUCGUGAGAUGUUGGGUUAAGUCCCGCAACGAGCGCAACCCUUAUUGUUAGUUACCAGCACGUAAUGGUGGGGACUUUAGCAAGACUGCCAGUGAUAAAUUGGAGGAAGGUGGGGACGACGUCAAAUCAUCAUGCCCCUUAUGACCUGGGCUACAAACGUGAUACAAUGGCUGUUACAAAGGGUAGCUGAAACGCAAGUUUUUGGCGAAUCUCAAAAAAACAGUCUCAGUUCGGAUUGAAGUCUGCAACUCGACUUCAUGAAGUUGGAAUCGCUAGUAAUCGCGAAUCAGCAUGUCGCGGUGAAUACGUUCUCGGGGUUUGUACACACCGCCCGUCAAACCACGAAAGUUGGCAAUACCCAAAGCCGGUGGCCUAACUUCGCAAGAAGAGGGAACCGUCUAAGGUAGGGUCGAUGAUUGGGGUUAAGUCGUAACAAGGUAUCCCUACCGGAAGGUGGGGAUGGAUCACCUCCUUUCUA
rnacentral:rRNA from 1 species